CAGGUUUUCGUUUCCUAAUUUUCUGCCGUAUUUUUGGCCGUCACCUCUGCGGAUUCCACUCCCCUCCCCUCCUCUCCUCGCGCAGCCGCGCCACGCCGCGCCUUGCCGCUGACACCGGAGCAAGAUCGAGAGAGAGCGCGGCGUAUCGGGGUGAUCUGGUCUCCCCGCGCGCGCGCGCCGCCCUGCUGGUUUCGGAAUCGAAGAGGAGCAGAGAGGGCGGCGGGGAAGAAGAGGGGAGGUGAAGCGGCGGCGGCGGCUCAUGUCGAUGCAGCAGGAGCAGACGCGGCCACGUCGGCUGGUCCAAUCCUGUAAUGAGUCGGUUGCUUCACUGGCUAAACGAAAUGGCUCACCCUGUCAACAAGGCGAUGAUUACCAAGGUGUCAAAACAAUGAGAAAUCCAUGGGCCUUCCUUCCUGAGGACAUCUGGUAUCAUAUACACUCCUUAUUGCCACUACAAGAUGCUGCACGUACCGCAUGCGUGUCUCAGAUAUUUCUACGUUCUUGGAGAUGCCGUCCCAAUCUCAUCUUCAGUGCGAAAACAUUGGGAUUGAAUGACAAUUGGUUGGAAAGGAAUAAAGUAAUAGGAGAACUCAAUGGAAAAGUUGACCACAUUAUGAAAACCACUCCGGUGUUGGCUUGAAGACUUUUGGGCUUAGAUCCUAUAAUUUGGUCGACGCCUGUUAUCUUGAUUGUUGGCUCCAGAUAGCUGUUACACCGGCAAUUGAAGAACUCAUCCUUUUGCUGUUUCCAGAGGACAAGGCAAACUACUACGACUUCCCAUUCUCACUUUUAUUCAAUAGAGGUGGAAGCUCGAUUAAGCAUCUUUAUCUCAGCUAUUGUGUCUUCCGUCCUACUGGUGGACUUAAUUGCUUGCGAAGUCUGUUUCUGUAUGAGGUGCGCAUUACUGGGCACGAAUUAGGGUGCCUUUUUUCCAAUUCCUUUGUGUUAGAGCAGUUGGAACUCACAGAUUGCAAAGAGCUUAGUUACCUCAAGAUACCUUGCCUGCUUCAACGGCUCAGCAAGCUGGCAAUGUAUGGAUGGGAAGCAUCACAAGUGAUGGAAAUUAAAGCUCCAAAUCUUUUAAACUUCCAUUAUGAGGGUAAUCUAGCACGACUAUCAGAUGGAGGUCUACCGUAUGUGAAGAACCUAACCAUAGCUUCCAUUCGUUGGCAUAAUGCUAUUUAUUAUGCCUGUGCAAAUCUUCCAUCCAUUGUGCCCACUAUUGAAACUCUCACUGUAUUUUCAGUUAGCGAGAUUAUCAAUACGCCGAUCGCACCUUUAAGAUUUCUCCACCUCAAGCACCUUACUGUUUUUCUUCACACAGUCCCUAGGGUCGUUUCCCCAACAUAUGAUUAUCUUUCUUUAGCUUAUUUUCUUGAUGCAUCUCCUGCCUUGGAGACUUUCACUUUGAAGGUAUCACAGACUCGCAUGGAGCAUGACGUGAUUUCUGAAGAUUCAUCACAUCUAAGGCAGAUGCCAGGACACCAUCAUGACACCAUCAAGAAUGUGAAGAUCAUGGUCGAGCUAACUUGUCAUAUUCUUGAGAAUGCAACAUCACUUGAAGGUCUUACACUAGACACAAUAUUUGAUGGAAAUAAUAAUCCUGCAGAUAGGCUAUCUGUUCACGAAGUUGGUCGUUGUGGCCGCAUACAUAGCCCUAUGGUCAUGGAAGCCAAAAACGCGCUCUUGGCUAUCGAGAGAUACAUCGUCGGGAAAGUCCCCUCUACAGUGAAGCUGGAUGUUCUAAAACCCUGCAGCUGGUGCCAUACAAAUUCAAGUGUUGAGUGAUACGGAUUGUCCAAUAUUUAAUCGUGAGCUGUUGCUUAGGUGUGGCUUUUUCUUGAGCUACUGAAUCUACCCGUUGUUUUGAGUUUUGUAUUAUUUUUCAUGGGUAUUGUGCUUUGUUUCUUAAGUUGUCACAAGUGUCAUUGUUCUGUGAUUGUCAUUACAUGGGCUGGUUCAAUUAUACUAUUAUCAAAACCAUUCUUUCAUUUGUCCAGA